AGUGAACGCUGGCGGUAGGCCUAACACAUGCAAGUCGAACGGCAGCACAGGAGAGCUUGCUCUCUGGGUGGCGAGUGGCGGACGGGUGAGGAAUACAUCGGAAUCUGCCCAGUCGUGGGGGAUAACGUAGGGAAACUUACGCUAAUACCGCAUACGACCUUCGGGUGAAAGAGGGGGAUCGCAAGACCUCUCGCGAUUGGAUGAGCCGAUGUCGGAUUAGCUAGUUGGCGGGGUAAUGGCCCACCAAGGCGACGAUCCGUAGCUGGUCUGAGAGGAUGAUCAGCCACACUGGAACUGAGACACGGUCCAGACUCCUACGGGAGGCAGCAGUGGGGAAUAUUGGACAAUGGGCGCAUGCCUGAUCCAGCCAUACCGCGUGGGUGAAGAAGGCCUUCGGGUUGUAAAGCCCUUUUGUUGGGAAAGAAAUCUUUCAGGCUAAUACCCUGGGAGGAUGACGGUACCCAAAGAAUAAGCACCGGCUAACUUCGUG
rnacentral:rRNA from 1 species